rnacentral:rRNA from 1 species
UACGUAGGGUGCAAGCGUUGUCCGGAAUUAUUGGGCGUAAAGAGCUCGUAGGCGGUUUGUCGCGUCUGCUGUGAAAAUCCAGGGCUUAACCCUGGACCUGCAGUGGGUACGGGCAGACUAGAGUGCGGUAGGGGAGAUCGGAAUUCCUGGUGUAGCGGUGAAAUGCGCAGAUAUCAGGAGGAACACCGGUGGCGAAGGCGGGUCUCUGGGCAACAACUGACGCUGAGGAGCGAAAGCGUGGGGAGCGAACAGG